rnacentral:rRNA from 1 species
GACGAACGCUGGCGGCGUGCUUAACACAUGCAAGUCGAACGGUGAAGCGCCUUCCUUUUUGGUGGGUGUGGAUGAGUGGCGAACGGGUGAGUAACACGUGAGUAACCUGCCCCCUUCUUCUGGAUAACCGCAUGAAAGUGUGGCUAAUACGGGAUAUUCUGGGUCUGUCGCAUGAUGGGUCUGGGAAAGAUAUUGUUUCGGUGGGGGAUGGGCUCGCGGCCUAUCAGCUUGUUGGUGGGGUGAUGGCCUACCAAGGCGGUGACGGGUAGCCGGCCUGAGAGGGUGGACGGGCACACUGGGACGGAGACACGGCCAAGACUCCUACGGGAGGCAGCAGUGGGGAAUAUUGCACAAUGGGCGCAAGCCUGAUGCAGCGACGCCGCGGGAGGGGUGGAGGCCUUCGGGUUGUGAACCUCUUUCGCCAGUGAAGCAGGCCUGCCUCGUUUGUGGGUGGGAUGACGGUAGCUGGAGAAGAAGCGCCGGCUAACUACGUG